UCACAGCAACCAGUCAGGUAAGAGUCC
rnacentral:piRNA from 1 species